GGUCCUAUAGUGUAGUUGGUUAUCCCAUAGGAUUCUGAAUAGCCUUCUGACUCCCAAAGCUUCCCAUGAACCCGGUUCGAAUCCGGGUAGGACUC